UACAGAGGUCUCGAGCGUUGUUCGGAUUCAUUGGGCGUAAAGGGUGCGUAGGUGGCGGGGUAAGUCAGAUGUGAAAUCCCGGGGCUCAACCCCGGAACUGCAUUUGAUACUGCCUUGCUCGAGUACUGGAGAGGAGACUGGAAUUUACGGUGUAGCAGUGAAAUGCGUAGAUAUCGUAAGGAAGACCAGUGGCGAAGGCGAGUCUCUGGACAGUUACUGACACUGAGGCACGAAGGCCAGGGGAGCAAACGGG
rnacentral:rRNA from 1 species